AGCCCCUUCAAGCUCUUUCAGUUCUUUCUCUGAUUCCUUCAACAGGGGUCCUAUUCUCAGUUCAGUGGUUUGCUGCUGGCAUUCGCCUCUGUAUUUGCUGUAUUCUGGCUGUGUCUCUCAGGAGCGAUCUACAUCCGGCUCCUGUCAGUCUGCACUUCUUUGCUUCAUCCAUCUUGUCUAAUUGGUUGCCGUAUAUGUAUGGGCCACAUGUGGGGCAGGCUCUGAAUGGGUUUUCCUUCAGUCUCUGUUUUAAUCUUUGCCUCUCUAUUCCCUGCCAAGGGUAUUCUUGUUCCCCUUUUAAAGAAGGAGUGAAGCAUUCACAUUUUGAUCAUCUGUCUUGAGUUUCAUGUGUUCUAGGCACCCAGGGUAAUUCAAGCAUUUGGACUAAUAGCCACAUAUCAAUGAGUGCAUACCAUGUGUGUUUUCCUGUGAUUCGGUUACUUCAUUCAGGAUGUUAUUUUCAAGUUCCAAACAUUUGUCUAUGAAUUUCAUAAAGGCAUAGUUUUUGAUAGCUGAGUAAUAUUCCAUUGUGUAAAUGUACCACAUUUUCUGUAUCCAAUCCUCUGUUAAAGGGCAUCUGGGUUCUUUCCAGCUUCUGGCUAUUAUAAAUAAGGCUGCUAUGAACAUAGUGGAGCACGUGUCCUUUUUAUAUGUUGGGGCAUCUUUUGGGUAUAUGCCCAAGAGGGUAUAGCUGGAUCCUCAGGUAGUUCAAUGUCCAAUUUUCUGAGGAACCUCCAGACUGAUUUCCAGAAUGGUUGUACCAGUCUGCAAUCCCACCAACAAUGGAGGAGUGUUCCUCUUUCUCCACAUCCUUGCCAGCAUUUUUUGUCACCUGAGUUUUUGAUCUUAGCCAUUCUCACUGGUGUGAAAUCUCAGGGUUGUUUUGAUUUGCAUUUUCCUUAUGACUAAAGAUGUUGAACAUUUCUUUAGGUAUUUCUCACCAUUCGGCAUUCCUCAGCUGUGAAUUCUUUGUUUAGUUCUGAACCCCAUUUUUAAUAGGGUUAUUUGUCUCCCUGCGGUCUAACUUCUUGAGUUCUUUGUAUAUUUUGGAUAUAAGCCCUCUAUCUGUUGUAGGAUUGGUAAAGAUCUUUUCCCAAUCUGUUGGUUGCCGUUUUGUCCUAACUACAGUGUCCUUUGCCUUACAGAAGCUUUGCAGUUUUAUGAGAUCCCAUUUGUCGAUUCUUGACCUUAGAGCAUAAGCCAUUGGUGUUUUGUUCAGGAAAUUUUUUCUAGUGCCCAUGUGUUCGAGAUGCUGCCGUAGAUUUUCUUCUAUUAGUUUGAGUGUGGCUGGUUUGAUGUGGAGGUCCUUGAUCCACUUGGACUUAAGCUUUGUACAGGGUGAUAAGCAUGGAUCAAUCUGCGUUCUUCUACAUGUUGACCUCCAGUUGAACUAGCACCAUUUGAUGAAAAUGCUAUCUUUUUUCCAUUUGAUGGUUUCGACUCCUUUGUCAAAAAUCAAGUGCCCAUAGGUGUGUGGGUUCAUUUCUGCGUCUUCAAUUUUGUUCCAUUGGUCUAUCUGUCUGUCUCUGUACCAAUACCAUGCAGUUUUUAUCACUAUUGCUCUGUAAUUCUGCUUGAGUUCAGGGAUUGUGAUUCUCCCUGAAGUCAUUUUAUUGUUGAGGAUAGUUUUAGCUAUCCUGGGUUUUUUGUUUUACCAGAUGAAUUUGCAAAUUGUUCUGUCUAACUUUUUGAAGAACUGGAUUGGUAUUUUGAUGGGGAUUGCAUUGAAACUGUAGAUCGUUUUGGUAAACUGGCCAUUUUUACUAUAUUAAUCCUACCAAUCCAUGAGCAUGGGAGAUCUUUCCAUCUUUUGAGGUCUUCUUCAAUUUCUUUCUUCAGAGUCUUGAGGUUAUUAUUGUACAGAUAUUUUACUUGCUUGUUUAAAGUCACACCGAGGUACUUUAUAUUAUUUGGGUCUAUUAUGAUGGGUGUCAGUUCCCUAAUUUCUUUCUCGGCUUGUUUCUCUUUUGUGUAGAGGAAGGCUACUGAUUUAUUUGAGUUAAUUUUAUACCCAGCCACUUUGCUGAAGUUGUUUAUCAGCUUUAGAAGUUCUCUGGUGGAACUUUUGGGAUCACUUAAAUAUACUAUCAUAUCUUCUGCAAAUAGUGAUAUUUUGACUUCUUCUUUUCCAAUUUGUUUCCCCUUGACCUCCUUUUGUUGUGAUUGCUCUGGCUAGCACAUCAAGAACUGUAUUGAAUAAGUAGGGAGAGAGUGGGCAGUCUUGUCUAGUCCCUGAUUUUAGUGGGAUUGCUUCAAGUUUCUCUCCAUUUAGUUUCUUGUUAGCAACUGGUUUGCUGUAUAUGGCUUUUACUAUGUUUAGUUAUGGGCCUUGAAUUCCUAUUUUUUCCAGGACUUUUAUUAUGAAGGGCUGUUGAAUUUUGUCAAAUGCUUUCUCAGCAUCUAAAGAAAUGAUCAUGUGGUUUUGUUCUUUCAGUUUGUUUAUAUAAUGGAUCACGUUGAUGGUUUUCCGUAAUUAAACCAUUCCUGCUUGCCUGGGAUGAAGCCUACUUGAUCAUGGUGGAUGAUUGUUUUGAUGUGCUCUUGGAUUCCGUUUGCAAGAAUUUUAUUGAGUAUUUUUGAGUCGAUAUUCAUAAGGGAAAUUGGUCUGAAGUUCUCUUUCUUUGUUGUGUCUUUGUGUGGUUUAGGUAUAAGAGUAAUUGUGGCUUCAUAGAAGGAAUUGGGUAGUGCUCCACCUGUUUCAAUUUUGUGGAAUAGUUUGGAUAGUAUUGGUAUGAGGUCUUCUAUGAAGUUCUAAUAGAAUUCUGCACUAAACCCGUCUGGACCUGGGCUCUUUUUGGUUGGGAGACCUUUAACGACUGUUUCUAUUUCCUUAGGAGUUAUGGGGUUGUUUAACUGGUUUAUCUGUUCCCGAUUUAACUUCGGUACCUGGUAUCUGUCUAGGAAAUUGUCCAUUUCCUGCAGAUUUUCAAGUUUUGUUGAAUAUAGGCUUUUAUAGUAAGAUCUGAUGAUUUUUUGAAUUUCCUCUGAAUCUGUAGUUAUGUCUCCCUUUUCAUUUCUGAUUUUGUGAAUUUGGACACACUCUCUGUGUCCUCUCGUUAGUCUGGCUAAGGAUUUAUCUAUCUUGUUGAGUUUCUCAAAGGACCAACUUUUGGUUCUGUUGAUUCUUUCUAUGGUCCUUUUUGUUUCUACUUGGCUGAUUUCAGCUCUGAGUUUGAUUAUUUCCUGUCUUCUACUCCUCCUGGGUGUAUUUGCUUCUUUUUCUUCUAGAUCUUUUAGGUGUGCUGUCAAGCUGGUGACAUAUGCUCUCUCCUAUUUCUUUCUGCAGGCACUCAGAGUUAUGAGUUUUCCUCUUAGCACAGCUUUCAUUGUGUCCCAUAAGUUUGGGUAUGUUGUACCUUCAUUUUCAUUAAAUUGUAAGAAGUCUUUAAUUCCUUUCUUUAUUUCUUCCUUGACCAGGUUGUCAUUGUUCAACUUCCACGUAUACGUGGGCGUUCUUCCCUUAUUGUUAUGGAAGACCAGCUUCAGGCCCUGGUGGUCUGAUAGCACGCAUGGGAUUAUUUCUAUCUUUCUGUACCUGUUGAGGCCCGUUUUUUUGACCGAUUAUAUGGUCAAUUUUGGAGAAAGUACCAUGAGGAGCUGAGAAGAAGGUAUAUCCUUUUGCUUUAGGAUAGAAUGUUCUAUAAAUAUCUGUUAAGUCCAUUUGGAUCCUGACAUCUCUUAGUCUGUCUAUGUCUCUGUUUAAUUUCUGUUUCCAUGAUCUGUCCAUUGAUGAGAGUGGGGUGUUGAAAUCUCCUACUAUUAUUGUGUGUGUUGCAAUGUGUGUUUUGAGCUUUAGUAAUGUUUCUUUUACGUACGUAGGUGCCCUUGUAUUUGGGGCAUAGAUAUUUAGGAUUGAAAGUUCAUCUUGGUGGAUUUUUCCUUUGAUCAAUAUGAAGUGUCCUUCCAUAUCUUUUUUGAUGUCUUUUAGUUGAAAAUUGAUUUUAUUUGAUAUUAGAAUGGCUACUCCAGCUUGCUUCUUCUGACCAUUUGCUGGGAAAGUUGUUUUGUAGCCUUUUACUCUGAGGUAGUGUCUGUCUUUGUCUCUGAGGUUCGUUUCUUGUUGUCAGCAGAAUGCAGGGUCCUCAUUGCGUAUCCAGUUUGUUAAUCUAUGUUUUUUUUGGGGGGGAGUGGAGGCCAUUGAUUUUGAUAGAUAUUAAUUUAUAGUGAUCAUUGCUUCCUGUGAUAUUCAUAUUUGGAUAUGAGGUUAUGUUUGUGUGCUUUUCUUCUCUUUGUUUUUUUGCCAAGACAUUUAGUUUCUUGCUUCUUCUAGGGUAUAGCUUGCCUCCUUAUGUUGGGCUUUACCAUUUAUUAUCCUUUGUAAUGCUGGAUUUGUAGAAAGAUAUUGUGUAAAUUUGGUUUUGUCAUGGAAUAUCUUGGUCUCUCCAUCUAUGUUAAUUGAGAGUUUUGCAGGAUACAGUAACCUGGGCUGGCAUUUGUGUUCUCUUACGGUCUGUAUGACAUCUGUCCAUGAUCUUCUGGCUUUCAUUGUCUCUGGCGAAAAGUCUUGUGUGAUUCUGAUAGGUCUGCCUUUAUAUGUUACUUGACCUUUUUCCCUUACUGCUUUUAAUACUCUUUCUUUAUUUUGUGCGUUUGGUGUUUUGACUAUUAUGUGUCGGGAGGUGUUUCUUUUCUGGUCCAAUCUAUUUGGAGUUCUUUAAGCUUCUUGUAUGCUUAUGGGUAUCUCUUUCUUUAGGUUAGGGAAGUUUCUUCUAAUAUUUUGUUGAAGAUAUUUACUGGUCCUUUGAGCUGGGAGUCUUCACUGUCUUCUAUGCCUAUUAUCCUUAGGUUUCAUCUUCUCAUUGAGUCCUGGAUUUCCUGUAUGUUUUGGACCAGCAGCUUUUUCUGGUUUACAUUAUCUUUGACAGUUGAGUCAAUGAUUUCUAUGGAAUCUUCUGCUCCUGAGAUUCUCUCUUCUAUCUCUUGUAUUCUGUCGGUGAAACAUGUAUCUACGGCUGCUUGUCUCUUCUUUUGGUUUUCUAUAUCCAGGGUUGUUUCCAUGUGUUCUUUCUUGAUUUCUUCUAUUUCCAUUUUUAAUUCCUUCAACUGUUUGAUUGUGUUUUCCUGGAAUUCUUUCAGUGAUUUUUGCAAUUCCUCUCUGUAGGCUUCUACUUGUUCUCUAAGGGAGUUCUUCACGUCUUUCUUGAAGUCCUCCAGCAUCCUGAUCAAAUAUGAUUUUGAACUAGAUCUUGCUUGUCUGGCCUGUUUGGGUAUUCCGUGUUUGCUUUGGUGGGAGAAUUGGGCUCCGAUGAUGCCAUGUAUUCUUGGUUUCUGUUGCUUCGAUUCCUGCGUUUGCCUCUCACCAUCAGAUUAUCUCUAGUGUUACUUUGUUCUUCUAUUUCUGACAGUGGCUAGACUGUCCUAUAAGCCUGUUUGUCAGGGGUGCUGUAGACCUGUUUUCCUGGUUUCUUUCAGCCAGUUAUGAGAACAGAGUGUUCUGCUUUCGGGCAUUUAGUUUUUCCUCUCUACAGGUCUUCAGCUGUUCCUGUGGGCCUGUGUCCUGAGUUCACUAGGCAGGUUGCUUGGAGUAGGAAAGUUUGUCUUACCUGUAGUCCCGAGGCUCAAGUUUGCUCAUGGAGUGUUGCUUAUGAGCUCUCCACGGCCUCAGCAACAAGGAAGAUCUGCGCCGCCCUUUCUGGGAUCUUCCGUGCACCAGGGUUCCAGAUGACGUUUGGUGUUUUCCUCUGGAAUCAGUAAUGUGGGCAGAGUGCAGUCUCUUCUGGUUUCCCAUGCGUGUCUGCCUCUCUGAAGGUUUAGCUCUCCCUCCCAUGGGAUUUUUGCGCAGAGAACUGUUUAUCUGGCCGGUCCCUUCAUGUUCCUGCGGUGUCUCAGAAGCAGGGGAUCUGCUACUGCUGUGCCCUUAUCCAACGGAACCCAGAGGACGUAAACAGUUUCCUCUUCGGCCAGGGAUGUGGGCAGGGGUGGGCAGUGUUGGUGGUCUCUUCUGCUCUGCAGUCUCAGGAGUGCCCACCUAUCUGGGCGGUAAGCUCUCUCUCCCAUACCAUAUUACUGCUUUUUAUUGAUAGAACCAUCCUUUAAUCUGUGAGAAACCUACAUUAUAAUGGUGAAUUCUGUUUUUGAUGUAUUUGUUUGCCAGUAUCUUUUGAGAAAAUUUUCAUCUGUGUUCUCUGAGAGUGUGCUUUUCUGUAUUUCUCUGUGCACAAGCUUUUCCUUGUCACUGAGAGUGAGAAUGAACCAUGGUGUUUGCUGUGAGACAUUUAGCUUAAUUGAUUUUUAGCUGAUACCUAAAAUUUCAGGCUACCUCAGCCUUAUUUAGACUGUGUCUUUAGGAGGGGGAGCCACUAAUGAAAAGUGUCCCGUGUCUUUACUCAUUAGGUAUAGACAGUUGUUUGAAUGUUCAUUCGGUACUUGCACUCUGUUCUUGAUUUUUAAAUACCUUAUUACUUAAGGCUUCAAAAUUGUCUUCAUCUUUGGAUUAAGGAGAGAAUUGCAAAAUCUUAAACCUUAUUUCUCCAGUUUUACUCUAUCAGUUAUUACUGUCCUUGCUGUGACCAAAAUAACUUAAGAAUCAAAGUUUUUACUUUGGGGCAUAUAGUGUUAGUCACUUCAGUAAAGUUUGAGGCAGCUUGUCACACGGCAUCCUUAGUAUCACCAAACAGAAUGACUUCUCACUUGCAUUUGCAUUGUCAUUCUUUAGUUUGCCAGGUCAGAAGUAAAGGGAAUGAUGCUGUCUACAUUUAGGAUGUAUCUUUAUACGUAUAUUAGCCCAAUAUAAUUACUUCCUUAGAAAAUUACUCAGCAGUUUGUCUCCUGAGAGGUAGUCUGGAUACUACUGACAACUGGUAGUAAGAACCACACUGAUAGAUUAAAAAAAGUCUGAAAAAUUAUUAUUACUUAUGUUGUCAUUGAGGCAUGCUUAUAUAGACUGAAAAUGAAAAUUUAAAAAUAAAUUCCAUGAAUAAGGAAAAAAAAUCUUUCACUUGUACACUGAACAGAACACAGAAUGCCUCCUCUGUUAUUGCUUACAGACACCAAGGAGAAAAAUGAGUGAGUGAUGGGCAAGAAAUACUUUUGAUUUAUGCUUCAUUUUCAUCCUUUAGCUUAGGUUCCCAGAUGUUGUUUACAUUCCAUGUUCUUGGCUUUCCAUCUUUUCAUCUUCUGGUGGUAUUUCUAAAUAUCUUUGCAAGACCAUUUAGUUGGGACAAUUCCUCUUUCAAAUCUGAACAAAGUCACCUCCAUUCACUCUUUCAUAAAAGUCAAUUCAUUUAACCUCUUGCCAGUAACAUGAAAUGAAUCAUUGUUUAAUAUUACAACACUGUUAGGGAAUUAAGAAUAUUCUACAGUAAUAAUAUGCUUUAUAGUAGUAUUUUUUUAAUGAAUCCUCAUACCUGACACCUCAAAAGAACAUGAUGGGAGACUUUAAGAGAACAGAAUACGAAAUGUUUUGGAAGUAUGAUUGGGUUAUUCCCUGAAAGUUUGUGUUGACCCCCAAAACUCUGGAGGUGCUACGGUGGCCGGUGUUUCUGUGAGCACCAACCAAAGCUUUCCAUCAGCUGUUUUGCAUGAUAAGCACUUUUUUAGUGAUCUAGAAUUUUUAGAAUAUCUUUAAAAGCAGCUUAACAUUACCCUGAGAAGAAGUUUAGAAUCUAGCUCCCAUAGCUGUGGUAACCUGCUCUCAUGCUUUGGGAACUGUUGCACUGCAUCUCAGUGACACUAGGGCAUCAGGCCACCAUCUCCUGCAGGGCCAACCAGAGUACCGUAACUGCUGAAAUCAAAUGCUGCUGAAGACAGAGAAAAAUAAACAGAAGAGAGGGACUGCUGCUGCCUUUUGUGACUAAGAUAACUAUUUCUCUGAGUUGUAUUUUUUUUAAGUCUCUAUACAAGUCCUCAAAGGCCCAGUUCUUGUGAUCAUUGCCUGUGAAGAGUGCUGAGGAAACUGAAGUUCAUAAUAAGCAUUCUUGACUUCCUGAUUGAUUGACGUGUUGUUUCCCUGACUAACUGGUGUUUGCAUCGAUUUCAUGGGUAUAAGGAAUCUCUUUAAUCUGUGGAAGUGUCACAUCAACUGGGAUUGUUGGGUCGUCAGUAAUUUGUAUAUCUUGAGAUUACAUAAGCAUAGUAAAAUUUGCUUUGGCACUAAACAUUUUCAAGUUGUGACUAAAUAAUUUUAACUGACUUGUAGUAGAUAAAUAUGAGUUAGUCUUCCAGUCCUGAAACAACACACACUUUUCAAAAUAUUGUGUAAUAGAGUAUUGUAUAAAUAAUAUGUACUAAUAUAAAUUAAAAACUAAUUUUCUUUUAGUUUGCAAAUAAG